rnacentral:rRNA from 1 species
GGUUGAUCCUGCCAGUAGUCAUAUGCUUGUCCUAAAGAUUAAGCCAUGCAUGUCCAAGUAUGAACACAAGUACGGUGAAACUGCGAAAGGCUCAAUACAACAGUUAUAAUUCAUUUGAUCGUGCAGACUACAGGGAUAACCGUGGUAAUUCUAUGGCUAAUACGUGCUAACAGCCCUCGCGCAAUGCGCAGGGGCAGCAUUUAUUGGAUCAAAACCAACCAGAGUUGGCGAGACAGGAUAACUGAGCGGAUCGCAGGCUUCGGCCAGCGACGGAUCAUUCAAAUGUCUGCC